UACGAAUGGGGCAAGCGUUGUUCGGAAUCACUGGGCUUAAAGCGUGCGUAGGCGGACUCACAAGUCAGGAGUGAAAUCCCCGGGCUCAACCCGGGAAUUGCUUUUGAAACUGUGAGUCUAGAAUCCCGGAGAGGUUAGGAGAAUUCCGAGUGUAGAGGUGAAAUUCGCAGAUAUUCGGAGGAAUACCAGUGGCGUAGGCGCCUAACUGGACGGGCAUUGACGCUGAGGCACGAAAGCGUGGGUAGCAAACAGG
rnacentral:rRNA from 1 species